rnacentral:rRNA from 1 species
CCUACGGGUGGCUGCAGUGGGGAAUAUUGCGCAAUGGGCGCAAGCCUGACCCAGCAAUGCCGCGUGAAGGAAGAAGGCUUUCGGGUUGUAAACUUCUUUGACAGGGGACGAGCAGUAGACGGUACCCUGAAAACAAGCCACGGCUAACUACGUGCCAGCAGCCGCGGUAAUACGUAGGUGGCAAGCGUUGUCCGGAUUUACUGGGUGUAAAGGGCGUGUAGCCGGGAAGGCAAGCCAGAAGUGAAAUCCGGGGGCUGAACCUCCGAAUUGCAUUUGAACUUGGUUUUCUUGAGUGUUGGAGAGGCAGGCGGAAUUCCUGGUGUAGCGGUGAAAUGCGUAGAUAGAAGGAGGAACACCAGUGGCGAAGGCGGUCUGCUGGACAGCAACUGACGGUGAGGCGCGAAAGCGUGGGGAGCAAACAGGAUUAGAUACCCGAGUAGUC